GGAAGAAAGUUGUCUGGAAUGGAAGCAAGAAUGGUAACACUGAUUUGAAUAGUCUUUUGUGAAGGAAAUAAAAUGUACCUGAUGGUGGUUAGUGAAUGUGUACAGCCAGAAUGACAUUGCCAUACAUCAGAGUGGCACUUGCAUUAUCUAGAGUGGUCAGAUAUGUUGAUGUACUGGAGAGGCCAAAGGGAGCAAAAGAGAAGAUGGCGGACUCGUUUGUGGUCAUUCUCCUUUUCUGGAGAUCGGGGGAACUACGUACUGGGCAGCCUCACCUGGAUCCAUGAGAAGGUGAUGGAGCGAAUAAUCCUGGAAACCAAUUCCAAAUACAAAGGCAGGAAGGUUAUCUGGAGUAGCUGACUUAGAUUUACAAAGGUGAUAUCAAGCUUGACCAACUUUUCUGGCCAUGGUUUUGAGGAGCCAGCUCUAACAGACCCUGUUCUGAGCAGGGAAAUAAGAGUAUAUGAUGACCAACCUCAGUGAUGUAUUGGAAAUAAUUAAGAUCACAGUUUAUUUCCCGAUUGUAUAAAGAGUCUUUUUUUUCGUUGGAUACUAAGGAAAAGUUAAAAUUCAACAUCUUUUCGUUCAGUUGAACUGAAUUUUCAUUGUCUCUAUUAACAGUAAUUAGUUUUCCCUAAUUUUGGCUUUCUUUUCAGACAUUGCACAGGCAAUGUCAGUGCAGACUUAUUAAGAGAAAAUAGAAGACAAAUACUCCUCAGACACAUGAAUGGCUGAAAACAUCAACUUCAUUGCUAUAGGAAAAUAGCUUGUGUAGCAAAGAGGCUAAUAAUAAUGUUGACAGAUAUGUUGGUGUAACCCUUAUCUUCAGUGAAGCUUAUGUAGUUGUUUUCCUACUUAUCUCCUUUUUUCUAAGAUCAUUUUACUAGGAUAAGAUGUCUAAAAUCAGAUCUUUCUUUGUACAUCCCUCAGUGAAAUAAAUUGACUUUGAUUACUGACAAAUAAUGGAGAGUUUAUUUUUGAGUGAGAACUGCAGCAACCUGUUUGAUGAACUAGGAAAUUCAAAGGUGCUCAGGAAGCAGGUGUGUACUAGUAUUUUUAGAAAGGGUAGAACUUAUAUAUUUCCCCUACACAAGAACUUUCAAACAAAAUAAAUAACAGUAUUAUUGAAAAUCUGAAGCCCUCUGAACUUUGAGGGCUACAUGGAUUUCAUGGUACCUGAGUGUGAAUGCAGAAUCACUUAUGUAUCUAGCUCAAAAUCACUGAUUUGGAAACUUACACAACAUGAAGGCAAAUAAUUAUCCAUCACCUUCUGCAUCCAAUAUAAUGUAUUACAUUUAUUACUUUAUGCCAUUACAGAGUAACUGACACUUUCAGCUCUAUGAGCAAACUCUCUUUUAUGUUGGCUGCAACAUAAAAAUAUCAAGGUAUCAGCAAAUGACUUUUUACUUUACUUUUUUAUAGUAUAUUAAAUCCGCAGUUCUGACAGAGGAAGUUAAAUAUUAGUAGUUUGUUUGGGUUUUUUUAAAGUAUAGGAGUAAGCACUGAACAAGUUUGUUCCAAGACCAGUACAAAUGAUGAUGACCUCUUUUUAUAGAUCUGAAUAAUUUCCAUCCUUACUGCAAUAAUGUUAAUAUUUGUUGGCAAGAGGGAGCACAUAUGGUAGUUAAUAUUGAGCUAUGUACAUGUUAAAUGACUGGCAACUGGGUUCACGCUACUGGACCAGACAGCUGCAGCCAAACAGUUGUAUGUAAUGUCAAAGAGUUAUAUUAGUUUUUUUCCAUAUGAAAGUAUUAAUUUGAUCCGCUCCCAUCUUAUUAACAGAAUUUUCAUGAACACUUGUAAGAACGUUAUUUUUGAGAAUAUAUUCUGCCUUUGAAUUGGUAAGAUGGGACAGAAAAUUUAGUAGGAGAAGUUUUGAUCUGAAGAUGGAAAGACAGACAUUAUGAUCUCAAAAUACUUUCUUUUGGAAACCAGAGUAAAAUAAGCAUUUUCUGACAGUGUACCUAUAGCUGUCUUCUGUGCAGCAAAGUAUGUUAUAAGUCAGAUGAUACUGCUCUUGACAUUUUUAAUGUUGAGGUGUGUAGAUUUUUAAAACUAUGAGAUAGCAUUAUUGGACUGAAAUUAUUGGACUAUAUAACAUUACAUUUCAUUUUCUCUAAAGUAUUAUAGCAUAUUUUCUGUAACUAGAAAUAGACUCAGAUGUCUAAAGGAAAAAGCCAAACAAAAACCAGUAGCAACAAGUUUUUUGGCCUUAGUAUUUGAAAGAGAAUUGAAAUUAUACUUCUGAGUGAAGGAGAAAAUAAUUGACAAUAUUCUGAACUCUUUAAGAUUUCAUGCGAGAUAUCAUUACCAAAAGCUCCAGUUCUGGAAAUGGGCAGCUGAUAACUAAAUUUACUCGUAUAUGUGGUAUUUGAGUAAUUUAUCUGUAAAGGGGUGUUGACUGACGAAAUGGUAAAAAAAAAUCCCAGCACUCAAAACUUCAGAAAAGUGACCUGGAAAUGGUGAACAAGAAACUACCAGCUUAAAGUCAAGGUGUUGUUUACUAGUGCCUAUCAAUUUAAGA